AUUGAACGCUGGCGGCAGGCUUAACACAUGCAAGUCGAGCGGGGAGAUGUAGCUUGCUACAUAUCCUAGCGGCGGACGGGUGAGUAAUGCUUAGGAAUCUGCCUAUUAGUGGGGGACAACAUUCCGAAAGGAAUGCUAAUACCGCAUACGCCCUACGGGGGAAAGCAGGGGAUCUUCGGACCUUGCGCUAAUAGAUGAGCCUAAGUCGGAUUAGCUAGUUGGUGGGGUAAAGGCCUACCAAGGCGACGAUCUGUAGCGGGUCUGAGAGGAUGAUCCGCCACACUGGGACUGAGACACGGCCCAGACUCCUACGGGAGGCAGCAGUGGGGAAUAUUGGACAAUAGGCGCAAGCCUGAUCCAGCCAUGCCGCGUGUGUGAAGAAGGCCUUUUGGUUGUAAAGCACUUUAAGCGAGGAGGAGGCUCCUUUAGUUAAUACCUAAAGAGAGUGGACGUUACUCGCAGAAUAAGCACCGGCUAACUCUGUG
rnacentral:rRNA from 1 species